GGUAAAAAAGUGCAUAUGUUUUUUAGGUAAAUAAAAAAUAUUUCUUUAUAGAAAAAGAUAAUUGUUAUUGUUAAAAUAUGACUAUCAAAAGAAAGAAAUAUGCGAUUUUAUAUAUUUAUAACUACGUAAUUGGAGGCACACAAGUUACAGAUUUCUGAACGCACAACGCAUGGAUAUAUAAUUAAUUAAUUUACACUCUGAUAUAACAUUUUCCCCCUAAGAAGUUACCUUAUUCUCAUUUACUGCUCCCUACAGCUACCAAUAUUACAGAAGAAUUGGAAGACGGUUCUUCUAAUUCUUCUGUAAUAUAAUUCUAGAAAUAAAAUAAACUACUAAUAACUGGUUGCUGUUAACUGAGAUUGUUACGUAUGUUUCGGUAAUUCUGAAUAGAGUUUAUGCUAUGGAACAUGAAAUAAUUUCAUAAACAUUAUUGAUACGUAGCAUAUUUCAUAACAGGUCACUUUACAAUAAUUAAAAGACAGACAAAUUAAAGGUGUUUUGCGUGUUCUUUCUAGAUUUACCUGACAUUUUAUUUCCAAUAUUACACAUUUAUUAAAACUGGUGGCAUAUUGAUGGAAAUUUGAAAUUUGAUGUAGAAGCUAAAUUUUUUAAGGUACUAGCAACAAAUUUCAAUCUUAAUGAUGGACAUAUUCACAUUAAAAUCAGUAGGAAAAGUAGUCCAGUCGAACAUGUAAAGCUUUUCUUUAGGAUUAUUGCAAAUUUUUAAACAAAUUAAAUAUAAUAAUCAUUUUUUAGACGGAUAUUUCUAAAGGAAUUUAAUAAAAGAACCAUUUAA